rnacentral:lncRNA from 1 species
ACUCAAGGUGGACUAAGAGAGAAAAGCGGCUCUGUUGGUUGUUGCUCAUUUGCGGAUGUUUUCCCUGCAAAACCACAUCAAAGCAGGGAAGCCCACCGUGGACUUGGCCAGAAACCAAAGCUUGCUGGCCAAUCUGAGAAGCAGCAAGUUUCAUCAGGUAGAAAACCAUUUUAUCUUCUGGGCCCAGAUUCCUCACUAGAGUGGAUGGAGGCGGAGCAUCUCCCAAGCAGCAAAGCUCUUCCUAAGCUCUGAGCUGGCGUAGGGAGCCCCCAACUUGGAGAGUCCUAUCGUGAGCAGGCAGGACUGAGAUGGGAGGUCUCCAGGAGAUUCCAGCAUUCAGGACACACAGAGGAACAUGGAGAGUCUCCCAGUGAAGAGUCUAUAUUGAUGUGAAAGCAGCUCAGGAUUUAGCAGGAUACAUGGAUUGGAGUGAUGCUGAUGUCACUGCUGGUGCUGACAGGGUCUCAACACCACCAUUCCAGCCUCCUCAGCAGCCUAUCCACUGUGAGAUCCAUGAGACUGCACCAACUCAAACGCGUUCCCUGGAAGUUGAGUUUUACAAUAAAUCUCCAAUAUGAACAUGCUUACCUGUUUUAUUCCUCU